rnacentral:lncRNA from 1 species
UAGUUUUUUAGGACUACCAUGAACCUCUCGAAAGGCCACAUAUUGUGUAGGUAUACAGGUCCGAGAAUACCAAUCUCUUUUACGAGGUGAACCAGUAAGUGCGUCAUAAUAUUGAAGAAGGAUGGUGGAAAUAACAACUCAAAACUGAUAAGACAUUGCACCACAUCGUUUUGUAGCUUUGAUAGUUUGGAUGUAUCGAUUGCCUUCUGCGAAAUCGCAUUGAGAAACGCGC